AGUGCUUGCAACUCGAGUAAGAGAGAACUCAGAAGGCAGGCAACAGUGAGACAGAUGAAGCCAACAAGGGAAGGAAGAAAACAAAAGGCAUGAAAUUGGCAGAAGCUUCAGCAGCUGAGGACUCACCGGCCUCCCACUACCUAUGAGAGGGACAUUCAAACCUGCAGGAAUGGUCGUCAAAGAGGAGGGACUGGAUGCGUUGGUUGGAGUUUGGUCGCUAGGAGUCUCCUGUGAAGCUGGAGCCAGUGCUCCCAGAGGCGACUGUGCUGCUGGUGUUUGUGUGCUUGAGGCAGCUGCCAUAACAACAAAUCUAAGGGUGAGGUCUUCUCCAAGGGAAAUGCAUUUGUAACCUAGACUAGAGAAGGAGAAAUAAAACAAACUGAAUAAGAAUUUUCUUCUUUGCAGGAAACAGUAUAACUGUCAAGGUUUAUUAGAGGUUCAUAUUAACAACAUUCCCUACAAAUUGUUUGAAUAUGCAAGAACAAUCACUUCAGGGAAUACUGUAUUGAUAUAAGAAGUACUUUGCGGUCAGAUUAUUGUUUUGUUUGGUGCA